rnacentral:rRNA from 1 species
AAACUCAAAGGAAUUGACGGGGGCCCGCACAAGCGGUGGAGCAUGUGGUUUAAUUCGAUGAUACGCGAGGAACCUUACCAGGGCUUAAAUGCAUAUUGACAGGGUCAGAGAUGACUUUUCCUUCGGGCAAUUUGCAAGGUGCUGCAUGGUUGUCGUCAGCUCGUGCCGUGAGGUGUCAGGUUAAGUCCUAUAACGAGCGCAACCCCUGCCGUUAGUUGCCAGCAUGU